rnacentral:lncRNA from 1 species
UCUUGUGGUGACCUGGGAAUCAAUGUGUGAGGUGGUGCUAUGUAGCAGGAACCCCUCUUGCUUUGCAAAUAGUUUUUUGUUUGUUUUCCUUUUUGCCCAAUAGAGCCCUGCUCUACUGACCCUUCAAUGUGCCCGUGUGCCUAAAUAUUCCUGGUCGUGUGAAAAGAACCCAGGUAUUAGCUGAACUAAGGAGCACAAUUCUGCAACAUUUUGGCACCCAAACACGGGGCUUGAGAAAUGAAUGCAAUUGGAGAAACUGGUUGUUUUACCAGGCGUUGAUUGGAAAUGUGUGCUUCCCUUUAAGCAGUCAAGCUCAACUUGCAGAACUGAUGGGAACCCCUUGGGAAAACUGGCCUCAAAUGUUUGUCUACACAGUCCACAUACAGGGUUCUUAACCUGCGAUGAGGGAAACUUCCCAGGGCUUGUCUGGGUAUGCCCACAGUGGACUGGAGCCCAAAAUGCACACUGGAGGAAGUGGAUGGAGCCACGUGGAUGUCAUGCCUUAUGCAGGGGAGGAGCCUGCUCUCUUCAGCUCCUGUGGUAAUGUGGGAAUCGAUCUGUGAGGAAACACUUUCUGAAAAUGUCAGAACUCUUGAAAACAUGGAUGAGGAAAAGCAUAAGUACUGCUUUAUGCUUUUCUUAUGAAUUUUAAAAGAUGUAAUUUAAAGGAGCUGUCAUUUAAAUGUGCUUGCCAACUAGCUUGUUUAUCAAAACAUUCCAGACCCUUUCAAAUUCUCAUUUACAUUGUUUCUUGUUUACCACACCCAUAAAUUUGUAUUACCAGCAUAUUUAACUAUCCGGCUAUUUUGGAGAUUGAAAAAAGAAGACCUGAUUUAUCAUGUGCAAUAUCUCACACAUCUGUCAUUUCUAUUCUACCGCAAUUCGAUGGAGUCUUGUUCUGUGGUCCAGGCUAGAGGGCAGUGGCAUGAUCUCGGCUCACUACAAGCUCUGCCUCCCGGGUUCACGCCAUUCUCCUGCCUCAGCCUCCUGAGUAGCUGGGACUACAGGCGCCCGCCACCACGCCUGGCUAAUUUUUUGUAUAUUUACUAGAGAUGGCUAGUGUUAGCCAAGAUGGUCUCGAUCUCCUGACCUCGUGAUCUGCCCACCUCAGCCUGCCAAAGUGCUGGGAUUACUGGCGUGAGCCACCGUGCCUGGCCAGCAUCCUCUAAUUAUUAUUCAUAGUUUGUGAAUUUAGGCCUACGUGAAUAAUAAUAUAAUAUUUACUAUGAUGUUACUAUCUACCAACCUUAUUUUUCUUUUCUAUAAAAUAGGAGCCAAAAUAAUAUUUAUGUCAUACCUUAUGAAGUUAAAAUAAAAUAUAACGAAUGAGGGGCUUAA